rnacentral:lncRNA from 1 species
UUCUUAGAAGACACUCUUCUUUGACUCCAGUCCCUUAGAAAACCCCCUGCUAUUUAUCUCUGCAGAGAAAUAUGUGCUUGCGGAAAUUCUUGGAUAGUCUAUUAGGUUUUUUCCUAACUAUGAACUGCCACUACUUUGGAUUUUCUUAUUGCAAACAACAAAGCCCAAUAUAGUUUAGUGUGAUUGUGACAGCUCCUGGGCCUAGGUUCAUCUCGAUAAUUGCUGGUGUGGUUGUGAGAACUGCUUUUCUUAAUGAUAAUUUAGAGGAACUUUCUCCAGAGACUAGCUUCCACGGGUAGUUACACCCGUGAAAAGUCACCCCCCAUCAAGGUGACUCUUCACCAUUUGCCCUCAAGAUAAUCAGAAUUUUCAAAAUUCAAGAGAUUUGUCAAUAUGGGUUUUAACUAAACGGGAUCCA